rnacentral:lncRNA from 1 species
GGCCGGGUGGGGCCCCGGACUGGGAGAGGGCACAAUAUUCUGCAUUUAACAUUUGAACUUCUCCUAUCCGAGGCAGCAGGCCGUUUUGUCCUGGGGUCGCUGACCCUGGCUCCCCCAUCAGCUGCCCUGAAACCUUAAUUGAAUGACAGAUGGUCAUUUUCGGGGGCGCCAGAAGCUGCGGGCGGCCAGCGGCGCGGGGACUGCGGCCCCAGGCCCCGGCAGUCCUGCCCGGACUCUGCCAGCAAGGGGCGGGCGGCAGAGGUAGCAGGCGGCUUGCGGAGCUGGCCUAGCCUGCGGGCGCGACGGGAUCUGCGGGCGUCGGGCGAACGCGUGGCAACGAGCACCUGGAGGAAACCCCGGCGUAAGAGGCCGCGCGGGCGUUAGAUCACCAGGUCCUAGCGUCCCUGCCAAUUCCCAGACCGAGGGCCAGACGCAGACUAGGCCCGAGCUAGGCCACCCGGGAGCCUGGCCCGGCCUCCGGCCCUGGAAGGCGGCAGAAAGGAGACAAAACCUCUGUCUUUCUAGGCCGAAGGCCUGAGUUCCAGCAUCCUGGGUCCCCACGCGUCGGGGUCUGGGGCCAAGACCGCCCACAGUCGGCGCCCAAGCCCAAGACGCCCAUCCCGGACCUGGCCUUCCCGCCAGGGCCCGCGCGCAGCUGGGAGCUGUUUAUUUAUGGCUGCAAAUGUGUGUGUUCAAGAGAGAGAGGGAAUUGAUCUUUGCCUGGACUUAAAGAUGGAGCCGAAGAAGCUGGAGGGAAUUUGGGCUUGUGCGUCUGGCCCAGACCCUGUGCGCCGAGCCCGAGGUCUAUCCUCCCCGCACCUCUCACCUCGCGACCUUGCAGGAAUCCGCGGGCCCGGAUGCUGCCCAGCUGACCCUCCUGCCCCGGGCCUGGCUGCAGAGAAAGUCUUCGGGCAGGAGGCCAUCCUGUUCCUGUCUUUAAAAUGAGCACAAUAAAAGGGGGCAAAUCCUCGAACGCGAACCUGAUCUCAUGUCACAGAAGCAACUUGCCAUGAAAUCCGCUAAUGCGCUGCGACUCGCCCACCAGGGCAGCGUGCGGCGGCCGAACUGCACCUGCGUUUGUGAGCCUUGUAGAAAUGGAGCCCACCGGAUUCCCUCACCCGGAGAAAUGCCCAAACUGAAACUUGACUACACUUCCCUGGGCUGGUUCACGGUUUCAUAAUCUCCCAGGUUUGCUGGCUGUGUCACCAAAUCCAAGCCAAACCUGCUAUAAACAUGAUCACAGGCCACUGACCUCGCAGCACUGACCGAUAACUCGGUGGCAAAAUCAGCUCCUCUGGUCAGAGGUUAUUAAAGCAGCGGCUGAAUUCGUGUUUGUUUUUUUGAAGUGGUCAGAAAAACGUAGUCUUCUUAAACCUACAAAAACAGUCAAACACAUUUGCAAAUGUGCUUUACUUGUAUUGGUUCGAGUGCUGGAAGCUGUCUGGCGGUGAGCUUUUUCGUUGCGUGUGGUUUAUGCAGAGCACCCGGGAUGUUUUUCUCGUCUUUUACGUCUUGGUAUCUUUUAAAAAUGUAGAAUGUGUCUCUGAUUGUUUCACAGUAUGUUCCUUAACAACCAGAUAUGUAAGAAAACGUUUGGGAUUGAGUGGUGAGAAAAGCAGACUGGAAAGUACAAAUAAACCCAAUCCAAAUGGAAAACAAAUUAAACAGAUGAAAUGAUUAUGAAAGAAGAUGGGGGAAUUAACUUGUCUGGAAAAAAUCGAGUUUAGGGUCUGAACUUUACAGAUUAAAUGGCAACACAGAACAAAUCCAAAGGAAUUAAAUCUAUUCUUUUGCCCUCCUAGGCAUCUGGGUCAGAUGCACAUUUUGAGGCAUUUCAACAGACAGAUCAGCUCUGGGACACUUGCACACUUUUUUGGUAAACUGCAACCUAUUACGUGACCUUUAAUCCUGGUGGAAAACAAUUUAAAAUGUAUUCCUGGCUUUAGGAAACAAAAGAAAAAUUUUAAACCCUGGCAGUUAAAUUAUUACUGGUCUCUACAGGGUUAAUUUAAUGUAAAUAAUCUACUCUCCUGAGGGAAAAGGUGGAGGCCUGGCAUUCUGGAAGGGCCAGUCAGGUGGUGACAAAACUGUGUGCCUUGGGGUUUUGAGGGGUGUGUUGGGUGGCUCUGAACCUGGCUUUGGGUUUGUUACAUCUCUCGCUCUCUUAAAACAGUAACUCAAGAUGUAAGUAAAAGUGUUUUCAUUUUUUAUUGAUCCUGCUAACAUCUUUCAUUAUCCAGCAUGUAGCCACAGCAAAUUAUUGCUCAUUUGAUACUGAGAAUUCUAUUGACCAUCGCUUUCGUUGGAGAGAGAAUUCUAACUACUCGGCUGCUCUGUCAUCAGUCAGAGCUAAGGCUGAGGACUUUCCACCACUAAAACCAAAAUAAAUUGAGCCUUCUGCCUCCAGAAAUUGAUAGAGAUGUGUUCAUUACAUUGGGCCACAUGAGCAUGCAUAGAAAUCUGCUUUUUACUCUCCCAGCCUUGCCCCCACUCAGGCAAUAGGUCGGCCCCUUUGGAACAGAACUGUCUAUUUGAAGGGCUGGGCAUUCGUUUGCUUUUCCUGUAUCCCUUCUGGCAACUUCUUUCCAGCUGUGGCCAGGUUGGGGCAAUGAAAUGAUGCAAUGGGAGACUCCUCCUCAGUCCUGUGGUCAAAGCCACCUUGACUUGCUUAAGCUUAGAGAAAUCAUUAAAAUCUCAAAAACAAAAACAAACAAAAAACCUCCUAAAAUGUCCAGAUAGGUCACUUUAUGGUCUGGAUAUAAUUUCCUAAAUUAAACUGCUCCACCCCCAUCAAGACCCCACAUAAUCAAAGAGCAGAGCGGCUAAGUUGGGAAGCGAAGGUUAAGCUCUGGGGUAUGCGCCUGUUCACUCUGGAAAUGGGCGUCCAGCGGGAAUGAUAGGCCUGGGCGACUCGUGCACUCACACCAGCCCAAGCGGAAAGGAAGUCUGGGCCUAGAGAAGGCCUGACCUUUGACCCUUGGCCCGGCAGCUCCGGGGUGCUAGAGUCUGCAGAGGGAGGCGGGUUGGGAGACGAGGCUAGACAGGGGCCCGCAGGGCAAUAGGAAAGGCUGGGUUUGUUCCCCAGGAAGCUAGUGGAGUAAUCUACCUUGACGCAGAAAGGAGCUGGAGCUGCCCCACAGCAGGGGCCACCCGACGCCCGACCCUCUGGCUGCCUUCACCAUCCCAGAGGCGGGCAGGUCAGGCCUGUCUGUUGGGAUCCAGGCUCCCUUGCCACUUCCCUUCCAGCAUCUGGGGAAAAGACGCCCUGACUCAAGGGUGUUCUGGCCCCGCACGACGGGGGGCGAAGAGAGACAAAAGUCGAGCCUAACAGCAGGCGGCUGCUGAGCUGGCGGGUCUUGGGCCACUGCUAGUCCAGCGUUGGCGUCCAGCGGGGCCUGUCACCUUUACAAGUAACAAGGGACCAUAUCCGCUUCUCCUUAAGCCCUGGACCCCAAGGGGAGGCCAGGACGACCUUGCAGGAGCCAUGCCCCCUGGGGAUUCUAUGGAGGAGAUUGUUUGGUUGGGUUUCAUUUGCAUCAAUACCAGGAGAUGAACCCUCUGGGUUUGGCUUCAGAACAAACGGAGGACCAAUUAACGCCUGUACAAAUUAGUCCCUGGCGUGUGCAACCCGCCAAACAACGCCAGUUCCAAAUCGGAAGGCACGUUUAGGGACUCUCAGGGACCCGGCUUGGUAGUUAUUUUUCCAAUGGUGCUGUUAAGUGUGAGUGAAGCUAUUUGCACUCUCGCGGGCCUCGCUCCAAGACCCCUGGCACGAUGGGGAGCCACUUUGUUCCGGAGGAAGGCAGCGGAUGAAUAGGAACCCUGGCUGCGCACAUGGACCCUAACCCAAGAGCAGCAGCAGCAGCAGCAGCGGAAAGACACGGGUAGUCUGAUUCGGCUUGGGGAACGGAAGGGGAGUGUAAGAUGAGAUACACACCGGAUUUUUUUAGUUUUUCCUUUUUUGUUUUUAACGUAGAUAAAUAACCCCAUCGUCCGUGUAAUCAGCACGUUCCCAAUGAAGUCGUUUUCCUAGAAUGCGCUCUCCGCCUGCCACACUUGAGGAAUCCAGCCCACAGAGGUUUCGGAAACCCAGUUUGAGUGAUUCCAGCCUAGACUGAAACCCUGAGAGCCUCCCAGGAAAGAGAGCCCGGCCUGGGCCAAGCAGUCGGACACACACACACACACACACACACACACACACACACACACACACACACACACGGACUGCGUAGCUCUUCGCAGGAUCGAAGGCUGGAUGCGGAUCUGGGAGGCGGUGGCUAAGCGAACCAGGAAGACUGUGACGGAAACCAAUACAGCAGUGUCAUCUUGAAAGUUAUUUGGAAGAACAGGACCUGGAGUCUGGGUUUGAAUCAAAAAAUUGUGAGCAAGGGACAGAUCACCCUGUAUUUCUCUGGAACGAGGCAGAACUGAGACCUGCUCAGCUGAACCAGCGUGGCCACAUAUUGGGGACUAGGAAAUUGUUCUCAGACACUGUAGCACACACAUCCUCUGACAGCGAGCUCACUCCUGCGCAGUGGGCUUCUGGUUCUGCCACUGCACUCCACAAACGCCCUACAGGCCUCCUCCAGGUUUUGCCAGGCAAAUGAAACGAGCACAACUCGAUAGUAAAUUAUUUUGUUCAGCCUUCUCUCUUUUUAUGAAAAUAAGAGGCAACACUUUGUCAUUUUUAAUCACAUAAGCAGACAAUAAAUCUAAUUUUGAUAUUGA